CUGUGGCAGGCGACCCCCGCCUGAAACGUCGGCGACCUCGGGACAUCCGAGCCUCUCCCAAAAUGAUGAUGUGAAGAGCCCUUCUGCUCCAUCAGGCAUCCCAACCGAGCUUCAAUCAAUAGAUCCAAACUCUCUGACAAGCCACGACAAGAGCCGCCACCCUGCUCCACUCUCUGCAAUGGAUUCCAUGCAGCUCCACCACUCUUUGGCAAGUCACGACAACGGACACCACUUCACUCUCUGCAGUGAGCUCCACGUGGCCCUGGGCGACCUCUGAUGCCACUACUCUCCGUAACAAACUCCGCACGUCUCUGAACGGCCCA
rnacentral:lncRNA from 1 species